rnacentral:rRNA from 1 species
UAUCUCUGUAGAGUCUGCAUAUCAAUAAGCGGAGGAAAAGAAACUAACAAGGAUUCCCCUAGUAACGGCGAGUGAAGCGGGAAGAGCUCAAAUUUGAAAUCUUCAAGGUUUGACCUUGACGAAUUGUAGUUUAAAGAAGUGUUUUCGGUUAGAGGAGUAGUAAAAGUCCUUUGGAAUAGGACAUCAUAGAGGGUGAGAAUCCCGUAUUUGACUAUUCUUUCUAGCUUUGUGAUACACUUUCAAAGAGUCGGAUUGUUUGGGAAUGCAGUCCAAAAUGGGUGGUAAAUUUCAUCUAAAGCUAAAUAUUGGCGAGAGACCGAUAGCGAACAAGUACCGUGAGGGAAAGAUGAAAAGAACUUUGAAAAGAGAGUUAAACAGUACGUGAAAUUGUCAAAAGGGAAGCGUUUGACACCAGUGUUGUUUUUCCGAAAAUCAAUUAAAAAUUGAUUCAUGCCAGGUUGUAUUGACCUUAUCAGCUUCUGCACUUUGUUUCGAGUCUUUCUUGAUGCACUUUUGGUUAACAAGUCAACAUCAAUUUCUUUGUUGUAAAAGGAGUAAUGCGGAAGGUGGCUUCAAUUUCGGUAGAAGUGUUUAUAGCCCUAUACUUCUAGCAGUCGGAGAGAUUGAGGUCUGCAGCGUAGAUCCUUCGGGGUUAGAUACACUUUAUGCUAAGUUGUAGCUUUACAUAGACAACUUGUUGACUAUGUUUAGUCAUGCGGCUUACUCGCUUGUGCUAUUUUACCUACGCUUAGGAUGUUGAAGACUCUACAGAGAU